rnacentral:rRNA from 1 species
UGGGGAAUUUUGGACAAUGGGGGCAACCCUGAUCCAGCAAUGCCGCGUGUGUGAAGAAGGCCUUCGGGUUGUAAAGCACUUUUGUCCGGAAAGAAAACGUCGUGGUUAAUACCCGUGGCGGCUGACGGUACCGGAAGAAUAAGCACCGGCUAACUACGUGCCAGCAGCCGCGGUAAUACGUAGGGUGCAAGCGUUAAUCGGAAUUACUGGGCGUAAAGCGUGCGCAGGCGGUCCGCUAAGACAGAUGUGAAAUCCCCGGGCUUAACCUGGGAACUGCAUUUGUGACUGGCGGGCUAGAGUAUGGCAGAGGGGGGUAGAAUUCCACGUGUAGCAGUGAAAUGCGUAGAGAUGUGGAGGAAUACCGAUGGCGAAGGCAGCCCCCUGGGCCAAUACUGACGCUCAUGCAU